AGAAAAAAGGGAUAAAAGAGGAAGGAAGCAGAGGAAAAAAAAGAAGGAACAAAAGAGAGACAGGCGACUCCCAGGAGCAGAGGCCAUGCUUACAGAGAGAAGGGUGGAGGUAUGUGGGGGAAGGGGAAAGCCGGCUGGCUGACACAGCGCUAAGGAGGAAGACUCGAGGCUUCUGCGCAGGGAAAGCCGAUGUUGCCACCGCAGGCCUGGCACGACCAGGGCCUUGAUGCCCCGCCCGGCCCGGCCCCCGCGCGCACAGGUACCUGGAGACGAUUUCAACUGAAGUAAUGAAGGCAGUGUCGUGCUGUCGAGAGAAAGGUGGAUCCCAACAACAGGAAACUACCUAAAUCACCGACCAGUUCUGGUGCUGCCCGCGCGGUGCUGCCUCGCCCGCCGCCGCCGCCGCCGCCGCCACUGCCGCCGCCGCCGCCAAGGAGAGAACCCUGCGAUCGCGCCCGGCCCAGCCCCUCGGCGACCUGUGCCCGCCGCCGCAACUGAUACCCUAGGCUGCCACAAAUGCGUCACCGAGGGAGAAGCCACCGGCCCCAGUAAGACAAAGUCAAGCCCUUUUGCCAACCUGCAUACCAUGCCUGUCAGCCCUUCUCUUGGCCAAGGAAGAAAGGAAGAGAGAAAAAAAAGACACCGAGGGGCCUGUAUCCCCUGAUUAAACACAGCCCAGCACUCCAGGCUGGCGUGCCCAGUGGCGGCUCCUUGCACCAUUGACCUCAGGCCAGACACCUCAGCGCCGACAAUGGAACCUCGGCUUUCCGGCUAGGUUUACCCCUGGCUGGGCAGGAAACCAGCUCGGCGGAGAACAGGGGCCAUUUCAAGCCGUGGGACCCCAAAACAGCAAACCCAGCCCAGUGACGACUUGACACUUAGGACAAUAUCUAUCUCUAUAGAAUUUUACCAUGAUAUGGCUUUUUCCCCCAGAAAACAACAAAUAAACCAGCACCAAGCAAACAAAGAAACAAAAAGUCAGAACAAACCAGCCCUGCACAGAUGUAAUGGCCCAGGAGAUGGCGAGUGUGGGAGGGAGGAAUAGGGCUCCGGCACAGGUGCGAGUUUCUGGGCAGAGGCUGAAGACAGAGGGAGGGAACCAGCGCUCUGGAAGCAAAAAAAUAAAAAUAAAAAUAAAAGGCGUCGCCCGGAGCUUCAUCAGGAAAAAUUAAAGU